GGGGGCGACAUGGUUUCGACGCGGGUUGCAAAACCUGAGGCGCAUGCCGAGGAACAGUACACCUCGUAAAUACAACUGUAAACUUUAGAUAUUCGCCAACGACGAAGUCUACGCCCUGGCGGCUUAAACCCGCCAGCCUCUGACUGAGUACGUGCUUGUGCGCUCAGCGUCGGUGUAAAAAGCUGACAUUCAGAGGUCACCCCUCACAAGUACGCGGAUUGAUACGUUUGGGAUUGUCCGUUAAAUUAUACCAAACCCACGGAUAGAUUGUCCUGCCUAUCGGAUGACUAGCUAGUGGUUAAACCAAAAGAUAGGGUCUAAGCAUGUAGAACCAAAGGCGGAGGACUUGCGGACGCGGGUUCGAUUCCCGCCGUCUCCACAA
rfam:Candidatus Thiomargarita nelsonii contig_711, whole genome shotgun sequence.